rnacentral:rRNA from 1 species
AUGCGGGAGAGCCUCGAGCGCAUGCUCAAGAAUGGAGAAGGUGCAGAUGUGACGUUCAACGUGCGCCACCAGCUGUUCAAUGCCCAUCGUUGUGUGCUGGCUGCGGAACUCUUUGGACCGAUGAAGGAAAGCAAGACAGAGCACAUCAAGGUCGAUGACAUGGAGCCCCAGGUCUUUGAGGCGCUUCUCCACUUCAUGUACACGGAUGCUAUGCCAGAUGACGAUGAAGACGAAGGCAAAAUUGUAAGGUUACAACACUUGCUAGUUGCCGCAGACAGGUACGGAGUAGACAGGUUGAAGAUCCUGUGUGAAGACAAGCUCCAUGAGGGCAUCGAUGUCGAUAUGGUUGCCACCACGUUGCUUCUGGCAGAGCAGCAUCACUGCAAGGAUCUUAAGGAAGCUUGCAUUCAGUUUAUUAGUUCACCACGGGACAAACUAUCUGCUGCCAUGGCAACUGAUGGAUUCAAGCAACUCGUAGCUAGUUGUCCUUUGCUCAUGGAGGAUAUACUGAAGGGGGUGUCGUGCACCUAG